AAAUUGAAGAGUUUGAUCAUGGCUCAGAUUGAACGCUGGCGGCAGGCCUAACACAUGCAAGUCGAACGGUAACAGGAAGCAGCUUGCUGUUUUGCUGACGAGUGGCGGACGGGUGAGUAAUGUCUGGGAAACUGCCUGAUGGAGGGGGAUAACUACUGGAAACGGUAGCUAAUACCGCAUAAUGUCGCAAGACCAAAGAGGGGGACCUUCGGGCCUCUUGCCAUCGGAUGUGCCCAGAUGGGAUUAGCUUGUUGGUGGGGUAACGGCUCACCAAGGCGACGAUCCCUAGCUGGUCUGAGAGGAUGACCAG
rnacentral:rRNA from 1 species